UAUACUUUUUCUUCUUAUUAUUAGUUGUAUAAAAGUACCUUUGCCUUAUAAAUAGAAGAGGCAAGCACUACAACAAAAACCCAUUUCAAUAACACAAAAAUAUAACUCUUUUCAAAAAGUAUUAUAAUAUAUAUAUGUAUAUAGGCGGGACUUAAUUGGCGCCUAAUUUUCCCCAACCCCCCCAAAAUUUUCACACGGUCCAAUUGACCAAAAAAAAAAAAGUAAAAAACCAUUUCCCCAUUUCACAGUCGGUUCCCAUUUCCCCAUUUUACAGUCGGUCCCCAUUUCCCCUCUCUCUCUCUUCUCUCUCUUCGUUCCCCGUUUACCCUCUCUCUCUCUCGUCGUUCCCCGUUUACCCACUCUCUCUCUCUCUUCGUUUACCCCCUCUCUCUCUUCGUUUCUCAACCGAUCUGCCCAGGAGGAGGACGAUUAAGCUUGCCCGCCACUUAUACAAUCUGCCCAGGAGGAGGAUGACGACACUGUGUGUGUCUUCAUCACCUCGACGCAUGGUGGAAGCAAGAUCUGGUAUGUUUCUCCAAUUUGUGUCCCUCUCUCAAUUACAGUAAGCUUUUUUUUAAUAUCCAUUUUUGUAUUUAUGGGGUAUUUUUAUGCUCCGAUCACUCUGUUGUGCUCAUAAUUUAUUGUGUUUUUUUUUCCGGUCUCACUUCAUUACAAAUAUGGUUGGAAAAAGUUGAUUUAGGGCUUGAUUUAAACUUUCAAAAAAGGGGAAAGAUCUCUAGAAACUGAAUAAGAAGGCAAAGGGAACUGCCUCUUCUCAAGACAAAUGGCUCUUGGUAUACUUGCAGUCUACUAAGGAGUUCAGCUCACAUAUGCUUAAUCGAGAUACAUGGGCUAAUGAAGCUGUCUCUCAAACGAUCAGUACAAACUUUGUCUUUUGGUAGGUAAGUAUUCCAUUUUUGGGGGGUUUCACACUAAAAUAUAAUAAUAUUCAAGGCGGUUUGGCAAAAUAACAUUUUUUUAAUGUCACUUUGCAAAAUGACCUUCUAUUAGUAAUUUUCAUUUUUUAUUCUGCUUUAAGGAUUCCUUAUAUCUAGUAGCAAAUGCCUAUUUUCAUAUUGUUUCAAGGCCUUGUAUGUACAUCUGUAGAUACAUGGUCAUUAUUGGACUAGAAUUUUAAGAUAAUAUGCUAUACUUAUAUAAAGUUUGGGGCAGGGAUCUUUAUGUAUUUUUCUUAAUUGCAUUAUGACUUCAUAUUUUCGGUCUACUGUUAACUUUGCCGUUUGAUAUUUUGGCACUUUUGAUCUGAAAUGUUGUUUAGAUGAUUAAAAUUUAAAAUUUGCCUCAUCAUAUAUAUAUAUUCAUUGUUUUUUUUUACUGAGUAACGUUGUCAUAUCUGCGAUCUCUUUCCUUUAAUAACUUUCUUUUAUUGGGUCUUUUGUAAAAAAAAAACUUUUAUUAAUUAUAUACGUUUUUUUUCCACGGUUCUUUGGUUUGUUUCUAGAUUACUUUGUGCCUGAUGAUGAAAACUUUUAUUUUUUGUAUUGAUAUGUGCAUUGAUUUCAUUUUGAGCCUCCAUCUUUUCUGCUCUCACCAUCUUUGGUACUCACCAUGAUCCAUUAUUUUAUUUUAUUUAUUUAUUUAUUACUAUUUUCUCAUGUUGGCUGUGGUGAUGAUGAUCUGUGUUUGCUGUUGGUGGUGGUGAAUGCCAAAGGUGAUGGUUGAAGUGGUGGUGUUUAAACCUUGAAGAUGUGAUUGGUUCUUAAUGAAUUUUCAAUGUUCAUGAAAUUUCUAGCAUUAAUCUCUGAGGGCAUUUAUAUAUUAAAAUGGUCUCUUUUUUCAAUAUUCUCUAUAUGUUGAUGCUGCAAGUCAUAUGCAUUGUCUUAUAGUGGACACUCUCUCUGUGCUUCUUAGGCUUGGUCGCCAUUUGAUCUCAGUCCGGAGUUUUCUAGUCACGGAAGAGAAGGUGAUAAAAACCUGGGGGGACCAGUAGACUCCUAUGACUUUCAUUGCCUGAUACAAGACCUUGUUCAUGUGACUAAUGGAAUGAACUUUCAAAAGUCUGAUACAAAUGUUGGUUAUCUAGUUUCCUUUUCAUUGUUUAUUGUAAUUUAGGACUUUUUUGUAAUUGAUAAUUAUAUUUAACCAAGUAUGAUAUGUCUCUGGUUAAAUUCCUGGAAGCUAAUGACAUCGUAUACCAAGGUUCAUGGUGAUGAAGCCAAGAAUGGUUCAAUAAUGUCUUGUGUGAAGUAAAUACUUGAUAUUUGUUUUAUCAUCUAUUGGAUAUACAUGAUCUCAUAUAUAAAGUGAAAACAAAUUUGGAGCUUAGAAAUGUAUGGAGUAUGACUAUAACUAGGGAAAGCUGUAGAAAUAUACAGGU